GCCAGGUGUGGCGGUGCAUGCCUGUAGUCCCAGCUACUUGGGAGGCUGAGGCAGGAGAAUUGCUUGAACCCAGGAGGCGGAGGCUGCAGUGAGCCGAGAUCGCGUCACUGCACUCCAGCCUGGGCGACAGAGCGAGACUCUGCCUCAA
rnacentral:SRP_RNA from 2 species